rnacentral:rRNA from 1 species
AUUGCCCCAGUAACGGCGAGUGAAGCGGCAACAGCUCAAAUUUGAAAUCUGGCCCCUAGGGCCCGAGUUGUAAUUUGCAGAGGAUGCUUUUGGUGAGGUGCCUUCCGAGUUCCCUGGAACGGGACGCCAUAGAGGGUGAGAGCCCCGUCUGGUUGGACGCCGAGCCUCUGUAAAGCUCCUUCGACGAGUCGAGUAGUUUGGGAAUGCUGCUCUAAAUGGGAGGUAUAUGUCUUCUAAAGCUAAAUACCGGCCAGAGACCGAUAGCGCACAAGUAGAGUGAUCGAAAGAUGAAAAGCACUUUGAAAAGAGGGUUAAACAGUACGUGAAAUUGUUGAAAGGGAAGCGCUCAUGACCAGACUUGGGCCCGGUGAAUCAUCCAGCGUUCUCGCUGGUGCACUUUGCCGGGCUCAGGCCAGCAUCAGUUUGCCCCGGGGGAUAAAGGCUUUGGGAAUGUGGCUCCCUCGGGAGUGUUAUAGCCCAUUGCACAAUACCCUGGGGCGGACUGAGGUUCGCGCAUCUGCAAGGAUGCUGGCGUAAUGGUCAUCAGCGACCCGUCUUGAAACACGGACCAAGGAGUCGUCUUCGUAUGCGAGUGUUCGGGUGUAAAACCCCUACGCGUAAUGAAAGUGAACGUAGGUGAGAGCUUCGGCGCAUCAUCGACCGAUCCUGAUGUUCUCGGAUGGAUUUGAGUAAGAGCAUACGGGGCCGGACCCGAAAGAAGGUGAACUAUGCCUGUAUAGGGUGAAGCCAGAGGAAACUCUGGUGGAGGCUCGCAGCGGUUCUGACGUGCAAAUCGAUCGUCAAAUAUGGGCAUGGGGGCGAAAGACUAAUCGAACC